GACGAACGCUGGCGGCGUGCUUAACACAUGCAAGUCGAACGGAAAGGCCCUGCUUUUGUGGGGUGCUCGAGUGGCGAACGGGUGAGUAACACGUGAGUAACCUGCCCUUGACUUUGGGAUAACUUCAGGAAACUGGGGCUAAUACCGGAUAGGAGCUCCUGCUGCACGGUGGGGGUUGGAAAGUUCCGGCGGUUGGGGAUGGACUGGCGGCUUAUCAGCUUGAUGGUGGGGUAGUGGCUUACCAAGGCUUUGACGGGUAGCCGGCCUGAGAGGGGGACCGGCCACAUUGGGACUGAGAUACGGCCCAGAAUCCUACGGGAGGCAGCAGGGGGGAAUAUUGCACAAUGGGCGGAAGCCUGAUGCAGCAACGCCGCGUGCGGGAUGACGGCCUUCGGGGUGUAAACCGCUUUCGACUGUGACGAAGCGGGAGUGACGGUAAUGGGUAAAGAAGCACCGGCUAACUACGUG
rnacentral:rRNA from 1 species